rnacentral:rRNA from 1 species
GACGAACGCUGGCGGCGUGCCUAAUACAUGCAAGUUGAGCGCUGAAGGUUGGUACUUGUACCCACUGGAUGAGCAGCGAACGGGUGAGUAACGCGUGGGGAAUCUGCCUUUGAGCGGGGGACAACAUUUGGAAACGAAUGCUAAUACCGCAUAAAAACUUUAAACACAAGAUUUAAGUUUGAAAGAUGCAAUUGCAUCACUCAAAGAUGAUCCCGCGUUGUUUUAGCUAGUUGGUGAGGUAAAGGCUCCACAAGGCGAAGAUACAUAGCCGACCUGAGAGGGUGAUCGGCCACACUGGGACUGAGACACGGCCCAAACUCCUACGGGAGGCAGCAGUAGGGAAUCUUCGGCAAUGGACGAAAGUCUGACCGAGCAACGCCGCGUGAGUGAAGAAGGUUUUCGGAUCGUAAAACUCUGUUGGUAGAGAAGAACGUUGGUGAGAGUGGAAAGCUCAUCAAGUGACGGUAACUACCCAGAAAGGGACGGCUAACUACGUG